rnacentral:rRNA from 1 species
GACCUGCGGAAGGAUCAUUAAAGAAAUUUAAUAAUUUUGAAAAUGGAUUUUUUUGUUUUGGCAAGAGCAUGAGAGCUUUUACUGGGCAAGAAGACAAGAGAUGGAGAGUCCAGCCGGGCCUGCGCUUAAGUGCGCGGUCUUGCUAGGCUUGUAAGUUUCUUUCUUGCUAUUCCAAACGGUGAGAGAUUUCUGUGCUUUUGUUAUAGGACAAUUAAAACCGUUUCAAUACAACACACUGUGGAGUUUUCAUAUCUUUGCAACUUUUUCUUUGGGCAUUCGAGCAAUCGGGGCCCAGAGGUAACAAACACAAACAAUUUUAUCUAUUCAUUAAAUUUUUGUCAAAAACAAGAAUUUUCGUAACUGGAAAUUUUAAAAUAUUAAAAACUUUCAACAACGGAUCUCUUGGUUCUCGCAUCGAUGAAGAACGCAGCGAAAUGCGAUACGUAAUGUGAAUUGCAGAAUUCCGUGAAUCAUCGAAUCUUUGAACGCACAUUGCGCCCCUUGGUAUUCCAGGGGGCAUGCCUGUUUGAGCGUCAUUUCCUUCUCAAACAUUCUGUUUGGUAGUGAGUGAUACUCUUUGGAGUUAACUUGAAAUUGCUGGCCUUUUCAUUGGAUGUUUUUUUUCCAAAGAGAGGUUUCUCUGCGUGCUUGAGGUAUAAUGCAAGUACGGUCGUUUUAGGUUUUACCAACUGCGGCUAAUCUUUUUUUAUACUGAGCGUAUUGGAACGUUAUCGAUAAGAAGAGAGCGUCUAGGCGAACAAUGUUCUUAAAGUUGA